rnacentral:rRNA from 1 species
CCUACGGGAGGCAGCAGUGAGGAAUAUUGGUCAAUGGGCGUAAGCCUGAACCAGCCAAGUCGCGUGAGGGAUGACGGUUCUAUGGAUCGUAAACCUCUUUUAUAAGGGAAUAAAGUGUGGGACGUGUCCUAUUUUGUAUGUACCUUAUGAAUAAGGAUCGGCUAACUCCGUGCCAGCAGCCGCGGUAAUACGGAGGAUCCGAGCGUUAUCCGGAUUUAUUGGGUUUAAAGGGUGCGUAGGCGGGCUGUUAAGUCAGCGGUGAAAGUCUGUGGCUCAACCAUAGAAUUGACGUUGAAACUGGGAGGCUUGAGUAUAGUUGAGGUAGGCGGAAUGCGUGGUGUAGCGGUGAAAUGCUUAGAUAUCACGCAGAACCCCGAUUGCGAAGGCAGCCUGCCAAGCCAUGACUGACGCUGAUGCACGAAAGCGUGGGGAUCAAACAGGAUUAGAUACCCUGGUAGUC